rnacentral:rRNA from 1 species
AGUGAACGCUGGCGGUAGGCCUAACACAUGCAAGUCGAACGGCAGCACAGUAAUAGCUUGCUCUUACGGGUGGCGAGUGGCGGACGGGGGAGGUAUACAUCGGAAUCUACUUUUUCGUGGGGGAUAACGUAGGGAAACUUACGCUAAUACCGCAUACGACCUACGGGGGGAAGCAGGGGAUCUUCGGACCUUGCGCGAAUGAAUGAGCCGAUGUCGGGUUAGCUAGUUGGCGGGGUAAAGGCUCACCAAGGCGACGAUCCGUAGCCGGUCUGAGAGGAUGAUCCGCCACACUGGAACUGAGACGCGGUCCAGAGUCCUACGGGCGGCACCGGUGGGGAAUAUUGGACAAUGGGCGCAAGCCUGCUCCAGCCAUACCGCGUGGGUGAAGCAGGCCUUCGGGUUGUAAAGCCCUCUUCUUGGGAAAGAACAGCAGCAGGUUAAGCCCCCGCUGUGGUGACGGUACCCAAAGAAUAAGCACCGGCUAACUUCGUG